rnacentral:rRNA from 1 species
UAGUGAGUUUGAUCCUGGCUCAGGAUGAACGCUGGUGGUCUGCUUAACACAUGCAAGUCGAACGCAAGUAGAAAUACUUGAGUGGCGGACGGGUGAGUAACGCGUGAGAAUCUGCCUUCUGGUCGGGGACAACCACUGGAAACGGUGGCUAAUACCGGAUAUGCCUAUGGGGUGAAAGAUUAAUUGCCAGAAGAAGAGCUCGCGUCUGAUUAGCUAGUUGGUGGGGUAAAGGCCUACCAAGGCGACGAUCCAUAGCUGGUCUGAGAGGAUGAUCAGCCACACUGGGACUGAGACACGG